UACGGAGGGCGCAAGCGUUGUUCGGAAUCACUGGGCGUAAAGCGCGUGUAGGCGGCCGGGCAAGUCGGGUGUGAAAUCCCGAGGCUCAACCUCGGAACUGCAUUCGAAACUGCUCGGCUCGAGUCCCGGAGAGGAUGGCGGAAUUCCCGGUGUGGGGGUGAAAUCCGUAGAUAUCGGGAGGAACACCAGCGGCGAAGGCGGCCAUCUGGACGGUGACUGACGCUGAGACGCGAAAGCGUGGGGAGCAAACAGG
rnacentral:rRNA from 1 species